rnacentral:rRNA from 1 species
GCAUAUCAAUAAGCGGAGGAAAAGAAACCAACAGGGAUUGCCCUAGUAACGGCGAGUGAAGCGGCAACAGCUCAAAUUUGAAAUCUGGCUCUUUUAGGGUCCGAGUUGUAAUUUGCAGAGGGUGCUUUGGCAAAGGUUGUGGUCUAAGUUCCUUGGAACAGGACGUCACAGAGGGUGAGAAUCCCGUACGUGGCCGCCAACCCGCGCUAUGUAAAGCCCCUUCGACGAGUCGAGUUGUUUGGGAAUGCAGCUCUAAAUGGGAGGUAAAUUUCUUCUAAAGCUAAAUAUUGGCCAGAGACCGAUAGCGCACAAGUAGAGUGAUCGAAAGAUGAAAAGCACUUUGGAAAGAGAGUCAAAAAGCACGUGAAAUUGUUGAAAGGGAAGCGCUUGCAGCCAGACUUGCCUGUAGUUGCUCAUCCGGGCUCUUGCCCGGUGCACUCUUCUAUGGGCAGGCCAGCAUCAGUCUUGGCGGUCGGAUAAAUGCGUGCUAAACGUACCUCUCUUCGGGGAGGACUUAUAGGGCACGCGGCAUACGACCAGCCGGGACUGAGGUCCGCGCAUCUGCUAGGAUGCUGGCGUAAUGGCUGUAAGCGGCCCGUCUUGAAACACGGACCAAGGAGUCUAACAUCUAUGCGAGUGUUUGGGUGUCAAGCCCGAGCGCGUAAUGAAAGUGAACGGAGGUGGGAACCCCUCGGGGUGCACCAUCGACCGAUCCUGAUGUCUUCGGAUGGAUUUGAGUAAGAGCAUAGCUGUUGGGACCCGAAAGAUGGUGAACUAUGCCUGAAUAGGGUGAAGCCAGAGGAAACUCUGGUGGAGGCUCGCAGCGGUUCUGACGUGCAAAUCGAUCGUCAAAUUUGGGCAUAGGGGCGAAAGACUAAUCGA